rnacentral:lncRNA from 1 species
CAGCCCGAGGAGACCCCCRCUCUGCAGCCUCGCAGUCAGAGCACGCCCGUUGCACCGGGAGGCUGGGCUCUGCUCCAGGCCCCCAGGCCAGACUGGUAUUUAAUCCAGGACUGCUGAAACACAGUCUCCGGAGGAGGGAUGGGUGCACAGACCACGAGGAUGCAGCCCCCGUGGGCGGUUSAGCAGGGCACCAAAGCAUCCAUGCGAAACAUGGGAGCACUGGGAUGGCCAAGGAGCGGGAACACGUUACCAUUAGCCAUGGUUUUCCCAUGCUUUCAACACAGGCUUGUGCACCCGGUGCAAGGGGAGAAACAAGCCCGGUGCUGCUUCCCGAACUCCCCCAGAUGGUCACCGAGCCCCUCAGGUGGCCGUGGGCACGGGUUUGCGGUGGGGCCCAGAGGGCAGCUGUGAACCACAACUCUUUUCCAUCCCUAGAUCCGACGACGCCGACCGACUCCGGCCAACCUGGUUCUAAGCAGCGACCAGUCGUCCCCAGAGAUCGAUGAGGACCGUCUCCCCAACCCCCUGCUGAAGUCGGGUCUGGCCAUGUCGCCCAGGCAGAGAAAGAAGGUCUCCCGCACCACCCCGACCAUGAAAGAGCUGCAGAUGAUGGUGGAGCAUCACCUGUGCAAGCAGGCGCAGGGCGAGGAGGAGGAGGAGGAGGCGGCCGCCGCGGGGAGCCAGGACCAGCGCAGCCCCGGCUGCUGCCGCCACGGUGACACAGAGCACAGCCACAGCCCCGGCGGCACCUGCUCCCUGGCCCACGCUCAGCCCGCGCGCGAGGGCGGCCCUGCACCCGGCGCCAAGGGGGAGGCGGCAGACACCCGAGGGGACGGACGGCAAAGCCUGGCCGGCGAGGGCACCCAUAUAUCACCGAAGGAGGCUGUGGGCAAGGGCGCUGCCACCAGCCAGUAGGUGCGUACUGGGGU